rnacentral:rRNA from 1 species
AUGGCUGGGCAUCUCUUUGAGGAUAUCUUCAUUAUGACCAGGAUCGAUCCUGAUGGGAAUAAGUUAGACAGAGAUGUCGCUACCGAUGUCAACCUGAUCCAUUAUGUGUUACGAUUAAUUGUUGUUAUUUUCAGAUGGACGUGCCUUCAUGGAGGGCACGCUGGUAGGAAAACCCUUGCUGACAAGUAUGACUAUGUCAUGCAUGAAAAGCUUUACAAGAUUUCAGAGGACAGUUCCAGUGGUCAAGCUACUAAAGUGGAGAUUUAUGCGUCUUUUGGUGGCCUCCUGGUGUUCCUCAAAGGCGAUCCUUGGAGUGCCGCCAACCUCGAACUGGAUCAAAGGCCGUUCCUCCUCAUACGAAAGGUGCAAAUGACCAGUGCUUCUUCUCCUUUUGUCGGGGCAAAAAUUUACCUCUUGCGUGGCAAGUCACCAACGCUUCUAGUUCAUCAAGGCUAUACCGAGCCUCCCUUCAAUGCCAAUUAUCCUCCCCUGGAAUGUACUCUACUCUUCUGGUGGUAA